AUGAACGCUAGCGGGAGGCCUAACACAUGCAAGCCGAGCGGUAUUGUUUCUUCGGAAAUGAGAGAGCGGCGUACGGGUGCGGAACACGUGUGCAACCUGCCUUUAUCUAGAGGAUAGCCUUUCGAAAGGAAGAUUAAUACUCUAUAAUAUAUUAAUUGGCAUCAAUUGAUAUUGAAAACUCCGGUGGAUAGAGAUGGGCACGCGCAAGAUUAGCUAGUUGGUGAGGUAACGGCUCACCAAGGCGAUGAUCUUUAGGGGGCCUGAGAGGGUGAUCCCCCACACUGGUACUGAGACACGGACCAGACUCCUACGGGAGGCAGCAGUGAGGAAUAUUGGUCAAUGGGUGCAAGCCUGAACCAGCCAUCCCGCGUGAAGGAUUAAGGUCCUAUGGAU
rnacentral:rRNA from 1 species